UACGGAGGGGGCUAGCGUUAUCCGGAGUUACUGGGCGUAAAGGGCGGGUAGGCGGUCAGUCAAGUUGGAUGUGAAAUCUCCCGGCUAAACUGGGAGGGGGCAUUCGAAACUGAUUGGCUAGAGGACAGCAGAGGGUCGCGGAAUUCCGGGUGGAGUGGUGAAAUGCGUAGAGAUCCGGAGGAACACCAGAGGCGAAAGCGGCGACCUGGGCUGUAACUGACGCUGAACCGCGAAAGCCAGGGGAGCGAACGGG
rnacentral:rRNA from 1 species